AUUCUGUCUUGUUCGAUGUCACCGAGGAUAUCUAAAUCUCUCCUCUCUAUCUUCAACCCAAAAAAUUCUGUUGUCAAAUACUCUCAUACGAAUACUCCACCUGUUGCUGGAAAUGAUAGUAUACGUUCAUCAGGUCCCCUGAUUCUGAUGUUUGGGUGGUGGGGAGCUUCCGAGAGAUACUUGAAGAAAUAUGUAGAUCUCUACAACAAAAAAGGCUGCGACGUAAUCUAUUAUACAGGCCCUUUUUGUACAUGGUUUGCACCAUUUGCAAUCAGGACGCUUGAUGAGAAAUUAAAACGGGACAUAAAUCAGUACCUGAUACGGCAACAAUUAGCACAAAAACCUAUUCUUUUACAUUUGUUUUCAAAUAACGGGUAUCUUAGCUUUUGUAGACUGAGCAAACAACCUCAUUGCGACGAAAAUGGAUUUUUGAGCAAUAUCAGAGGAACAAUCGUAGACAGUGCGCCUUGUAAAAUCGACCCCUCUUCGUUAGCAAGAGGAUUUCUUGGGGCGGUGAUACCCAAUGCUACCAAAAAAAAAUAUCAUCCGUUUCUGAAUAUGGCUUGCAGAGCCCUUUGUAUGGCCUUGCUAAAAGCGCCCCCUGUCAAAGAGUAUUUUAUGCAAGUAAACAAGUUGUACGAGGAGGUCAUUUUACCAUCUCCCCAGCUAUACCUUUAUAGUGCAGAUGAUGAUAUCGUCCUGCCGCAAGACAUAGAGAGCCACAUCGAAUAUGUGAAGAACAUCCAGAAGGUAAAACAGGUUCACGCACACAAGUUCAUCACAUCCAGCCACGUCCAACAUUACCGCACAUUCCCGGACGAAUACUCAAAACAAAUAGAGGGUUUUAUCGAAGUAAUCAAGCAAGAUAACCAACGUCAACUUUAAUAUUUUUAUGUGUAUACAGAAUAACAUAGACGACCGUUGUUCAAUUAAGUUAAAUGGUCUCUCUUCCUCUGUCAAAAAAAUUGUAAUAAAAUCAUUUUUUUUCGCGCCACAAGACUAUGACUGUUCUUUCAGCGAGAGACUCUAAAGAUGAAGAUAGCCCCUCUGAGCUAAGCGUCAACCCAUCUGAAGGCGGUGAUCCAACAGAGCCUAGAACUAUCAAUGGCAUCAAGUAUAUAUCAUAUACAACUGAAUCUCAACUUUCUUGGAUUGUAUCGUUGAUGAGGGACCUAUCCGAACCCUAUUCGAUCUACACUUAUCGAUAUUUUCUGAACAAUUGGCCAGAAUUAUGCUGGUUAGCUUUAGAUGGCGAUGAAUGCGUAGGUGCCAUCCUUUGCAAACAGGAAAGACACAAAGGUGAAAAAAUCCGCGGCUAUAUCGCUAUGUUGGCUGUUGAUGCCAAACAUCGAGGUCGUAAAAUUGGGUCUGAGCUUGUCAUUCAAGCUAUCAAUGUUAUGAAGGAUCGCAAAUGCGAAGAAGUAAUGCUCGAGACAGAAGCUGCAAACUUAGCUGCUCAGCAAUUAUAUAGAAAUUUAGGAUUUGUUCGUGAUAAGCUACUCCUCAGGUAUUAUUUGAAUGGAAUGGAUGCCUUUCGACUCAAACUCUGGCUAUGAGAGCAAAGAGCGAAUUAACACCAGCCCAUAAGCUAUCUAUCACUAAAAAACAUCGGCAUCUUUUAUACUGCGCGCCUCACCGAA